GAUUGAAGUUGUUCUCGAGGUAGAGAGACACGAACAUUCCUGCUCAAACCGUGCUGCCUUUGCCGAUACCUGCUAGAAUAAUUGAUUCUCCUUCGUCAACCGAGACCAUUCGUGACAGUCAAACUGUUGGCGGUGAGACUCAGUCAAAGACGCGUGAUAUUCCAG